GACGAACGCUGGCGGCGUGCUUAACACAUGCAAGUCGAACGAUGAAGCCCAGCUUGCUGGGUGGAUUAGUGGCGAACGGGUGAGUAACACGUGGGCAACCUGCCCCAAACUCUGGGAUAACUCCUCGAAAGAGGUGCUAAUACCGGAUACGAACUAGGUAGGCAUCUGCACUAGUUGGAAAGUUUUUCGGUUUGGGAUGGGCCAGCGGCCUAUCAGCUUGUUGGUGGGGUAACGGCUCACCAAGGCUACGACGGGUAACCGGCCUGAGAGGGCGACCGGGCACACGGGGACUGAGAGACGGCCCAGACUCCUACGGGAGGCAGCGGUGGGGAAUAUUGCGCAAUGGGCGAAAGCCUGACGCAGCGACGCCGCGUGAGGGAUGAAGGUCUUCGGAUCGUAAACCUCCUUCAGUAGGGACGAAGCGAAAGUGACGGUACCUAAAGAAGAAGCACCGGCUAACUACGUGCCAGCAGCCGCGGUAA
rnacentral:rRNA from 1 species